ACAAGAGCCAUAUUUCUAAUAGGCAAAGAGAUUUACACAUUGCGGUCACUCCUACCAGUGUGCUACACUGCCCUCCUGUGGCCAUUGAUUCUUCCUGCUUCUCCAUGUUGUCCAGGCCUUGAGAGGCUUUUCUUUGCUGACAGACGCCAUCCAAACCCAUAUGAACUGACAGUAAACUCAUUGACUGGUCCUGUUCAGAAAGAGGAGAUUCCACAGUCAUCACUGAUCACAAGGCUCCAAGAUCUCCUCCACUACCUCAUCCGUCCUAGCAGGUGGGUCAAGCACCUGAACCUGGCUCUCCCCUGUAUUACCAAAGCUAAGGAUGAGGUUGACCGUGCCCCCUAAAGCAGGGCUGCCGGGCUCUUUGAGGACCACAAUAGAGGGUUUGGGAGACUCUGAGGAGGAGACCUCGCGGCCCCGUGGUCCAAUGCUGUUCAUGACCUCGUACCCAUCCUCUAACUGCUUCUCCUCCUGCUGCUCAGCUUGUCUGGGCGGCAGGGACGAGGGCCGGCUGUCUCCGGCUAUCUUGUCUUCGUCGGAGGUGACGAGUAUGGACUGAUGGGAUUGGUAGGCUUCUAGCUCAGGAGCUGAACUCUGUGUAGGAAGCCAUGGAAAGAAAAAUUAACAAAUAUUCACAUAUAAUAUAAAUAUUUGCCACAAUGGGAGGUAAAUAAGUACUAAAUGUGCACGUAAACAUAUUAAAAGUAUUUCCAAUGGCAGGAAACAUAUUGUGGUACUUUUUUCCCCCAGUCAGUGAGGUUUUGUGAUUUAUUAUGAUGACAAUGAUUUAUUUUUUUAUUCAGGGUAUAUUAUAUAACUUAUAUUAAGUUAUUGUUUUUUUCAAAUCAAAGAAAUGACAUAUAUGUGUGUCAAAUAUGACAUUGUUCAAAAAACAUUUUAGGUUGUUUUUCAAGUUUGUUUUUUUCCUCCCAAGUCUGUACCACACAAUACUCAUUUACCUCUCUUAAUGGAGAGCACAUUGUGGCCUCAGAAUAAAUGUUAUCUUGUGAA